rnacentral:rRNA from 1 species
UAAAUAUAGAGGACAGACCAGACUGUGUAGCCAUUAAUUUUAUUUUUAUAUAUAUAUUAUUUGUAUGUUAUUGUAUUUAUUAUAAGUUUUGUUGUAUUAAUGAUUUUAAGAUUUUAUUUUUUUUUCAUUUUUAAAAUUAUUAAUAAUAAUAUUAACGACCUCAGAGUAGGUGAGACUACCCCCUAAAAUUUUAAGCAU